GUUCUUCCGCCAGCGCCCAUCGUGAAGACCACAGUUUCCUGUCGCGUGGAUGUGUUUCCUCUCUGGCCAUUGCCAUCCGCCCAAAUCUACAGACAUCCCGCAUGUUCCCGGGCUCGUCUCCCCAAUACAGGGCACCAAGGCUGUAGACUGCGCAGCCCUCCUGGAGACAGAUGGAAGCUCCUUGGGUCGACAGAUUACAGCUUCUGGAACCCCCUACUCCCUUCAACUCCGAGAUGGACACCCACUGUCCAGGGAGAGGAUGCCUGGAAAUAACAGCUGGGAUCUACAGUGGCCAAAGAGUUGUCUCCGUCUUGCUACAUCGACAAACUGGUGCUCCUGAGUGAGGAUUGUGCCCUGGGAUGGGGGAUUCAGUUUCUUCAUUUAUAGUUGGAAGUGGGUGAAGUGCCAGGAGCGACGGUACACUCCAGAGUGCUGUGCCCUGAUGGGCCUUUGAGUGGCCAGUGCAGUGGAUCAUCAGCCCUGUCUCCCAAGAGCUCCAGUCCCUUCUCCGGAGAGGAAGUGGGUCCACUGGCAGCUCAGGAGGCCAUAGCAGGUAAGUCAUACACUUGCUACUGUUCAGAGGCCUCAUCAAGAGAUUGGAGUUUGAGAGAAUGUAAGGAUGGCUCUGUCCAGUCUGGAGCCCCAGCCUUUGAGUCCCUAGAGUUUCCUGUAGUAUUUUCUGCCUCUUUGGGGGCGGGGAAGAUGAGUGGGGAGUGGUGUGUGGAUCCUCCCACCUAGGUCGUGCAUGGGUAAGUGUGAGGCCUUUCCAGUGUUAGUGAAUUGUAAGGGCAAGGGAGUGGACGUAGGCAUUGAAGACACUUGUAUAUGCCACGGUCUCCCUCUUUUUGUCAUUGUGUUGGGUAGCAGUGACUUGUUAGCAGUGGAGGGAAAAGUCAUAGUUGAACGAUGGAGAGUUAGGGUGGUCCGGAGCACCUAUCUGCUCUGGCUCUUUGAGGCCCCUCCCUUCCCGUUCAUUCUUCUGCCAGUGGCAGAAGUGCACCCACGUGUGUGCCUUGCUUCUGCCCUGGAAAGCUGGGCCUCAGCCUAGACAUCAGGUGACUAGCUGUUACCUAGCUAGUCCCCAGAUUCCACCUUAAUUAAGCAGCCUUACCUGUUUUGAUCUUCCAUUUCCUGACUUGGAAAACUAAAGCUAAGACAAAGGUUUUUCAGGACUGACUCCCCCUUCUUCUUGGCAGAUUGUGGGGCUCUGUGCAGUUGAUGUUAGUUAACCACUGGAUCCACGUGUUCACCGUGGCUUGCGCCCCUGCAUCCGAAAGUGAUCUUGGCUGCCGUGUCCUGGUCAUUGGUAGUGCAGGGAAAGGAUGCGGAAAGACGGGCUCCGAGCUCGGGGCGUCUGGCCUGGAGCUUUCCUACACUUGUGUCUUGCUCUGCAGCCUUACGGAAGUGUGGGUGGCGCUUUCUGGAAGCUGCACAAGUCAGUGCUGGGUCUUCGCAACUUGGUGUUCUGUUUCCAGAAACUUGGGGUGUUUGCAUGUGCUAGGUCAGCACAGAUUUCCAAAGGAUCUCUAGGAUUGUCACGUGUGCUCAACAGUCCUCCUCGGCUUUCCAGAAGAGGCUGGAACAGGGCCCUUGAAGAUGUUUGUGGACAUCAGAGGGCCAAAGACGACACAAAGUGAAACUGGAGACACCGCCCCCCCUUGGCAUCAUGAAACUGCCGAUGUUACUGGCUCAUGCAUGGGAGACACCAGCAUACAAAGUCUUGACACCAACACCUCAGAGGGCUGUGUUCUGUCCCCGUGACCAUCAUCUAGUGCCUGGAAAGACUAGUGACAAGAACUUGUUGCCAACUUCCUAUUACCUCCCUAACAGUUGUGCAAUAAACCCCAUAGGUUAAUUCAG
rnacentral:lncRNA from 1 species